rnacentral:rRNA from 1 species
UUUUGGACAAUGGGCGAAAGCCUGAUCCAGCAAUGCCGCGUGCAGGAUGAAGGCCUUCGGGUUGUAAACUGCUUUUGUACGGAACGAAACGGUUCUCCUUAAUACGGGGGGCUAAUGACGGUACCGUAAAAAUAAGCACCGGCUAACUACGUGCCAGCAGCCGCGGUAAUACGUAGGGUGCGAGCGUUAAUCGGAAUUACUGGGCGUAAAGCGUGCGCAGGCGGUUUGUUAAGACAGGUGUGAAAUCCCCGGGCUUAACCUGGGAAUUGCGCUUGUAACUGGCAGACUGGAGUGUGGCAGAGGGGGGUGGAAUUCCAAGUGUAGCAGUGAAAUGCGUAGAUAUUUGGAGGAACACCGAUGGCGAAGGCAGCCCCCUGGGCUAACACUGACGCUCAUGCACGAAA